AAUGGGUCAGCGACUUAUAUUCUGUAGCAAGGUUAACCGAAUAGGGGAGCCGAAGGGAAACCGAGUCUUAACUGGGCGUUAAGUUGCAGGGUAUAGACCCGAAACCCGGUGAUCUAGCCAUGGGCAGGUUGAAGGUUGGGUAACACUAACUGGAGGACCGAACCGACUAAUGUUGAAAAAUUAGCGGAUGACUUGUGGCUGGGGGUGAAAGGCCAAUCAAACCGGGAGAUAGCUGGUUCUCCCCGAAAGCUAUUUAGGUAGCGCCUCGUGAAUUCAUCUCCGGGGGUAGAGCACUGUUUCGGCAAGGGGGUCAUCCCGACUUACCAACCCGAUGCAAACUGCGAAUACCGGAGAAUGUUAUCACGGGAGAC
rnacentral:rRNA from 1 species